rnacentral:rRNA from 1 species
GAUGAACGCUGGCGGCGUGCCUAAUACAUGCAAGUCGAGCGAACGGACGAGAAGCUUGCUUCUCUGAUGUUAGCGGCGGACGGGUGAGUAACACGUGGAUAACCUACCUAUAAGACUGGGAUAACUUCGGGAAACCGGAGCUAAUACCGGAUAAUAUUUUGAACCGCAUGGUUCAAAAGUGAAAGACGGUCUUGCUGUCACUUAUAGAUGGAUCCGCGCUGCAUUAGCUAGUUGGUAAGGUAACGGCUUACCAAGGCAACGAUGCAUAGCCGACCUGAGAGGGUGAUCGGCCACCCUGGAACUGAGACACGGUCCAGACUCCUACGGGAGGGCGCAGUAGGGAAUCUUCCGCAAUGGGCGAAAGCCUGACGGAACAACCCCCCGGGGAUGAUGAAGGUCCUCGGAUCGUAAAACUCCGUUAUUAGGGAAAAAAAUAUGUGGUAGUAACUGUGGACAUCUUGGCGGGACCUAAUCAGAAAACCCCCGGUUACUUCGUGCCCGCCGCCCCGGGUAUACCUUAGGUGGCCAGCCUUAUCCCGGAUUUUUGGGCGUAAGCGCGCGUAGGCGGUUUUUUAGUCUGAUGUGAAAGCCCACGGCUCAAUUGUGGAGGGUCAUUGGAAACUGGAAAACUUGAGUGCAGAAGAGGAAAGUGGAAUUCCAUGUGUAGCGGUGAAAUGCGCAGAGAUAUGGAGGAACACCAGUGGCGAAGGCGACUUUCUGGUCUGUAACUGACGCUGAUGUGCGAAAGCGUGGGGAUCAAACAGGAUUAGAUACCCUGGUAGUCCACGCCGUAAACGAUGAGUGCUAAGUGUUAGGGGGUUUCCGCCCCUUAGUGCUGCAGCUAACGCAUUAAGCACUCCGCCUGGGGAGUACGACCGCAAGGUUGAAACUCAAAGGAAUUGACGGGGACCCGCACAAGCGGUGGAGCAUGUGGUUUAAUUCGAAGCAACGCGAAGAACCUUACCAAAUCUUGACAUCCUUUGACAACUCUAGAGAUAGAGCCUUCCCCUUCGGGGGACAAAGUGACAGGUGGUGCAUGGUUGUCGUCAGCUCGUGUCGUGAGAUGUUGGGUUAAGUCCCGCAACGAGCGCAACCCUUAAGCUUAGUUGCCAUCAUUAAGUUGGGCACUCUAAGUUGACUGCCGGUGACAAACCGGAGGAAGGUGGGGAUGACGUCAAAUCAUCAUGCCCCUUAUGAUUUGGGCUACACACGUGCUACAAUGGACAAUACAAAGGGCAGCGAAACCGCGAGGUCAAGCAAAUCCCAUAAAGUUGUUCUCAGUUCGGAUUGUAGUCUGCAACUCGACUACAUGAAGCUGGAAUCGCUAGUAAUCGUAGAUCAGCAUGCUACGGUGAAUACGUUCCCGGGUCU